GACGCCGCGUGUGUGACGAAGGUCUUCGGAUCGUAAAGCACUGUCAGGCGGGAAGAAGACAUGCGUAUAAAUUACGCGUGUGUUGACGGUACCGCCGAAGGAAGCACCGGCUAACUCCGUGCCAGCAACGGCGGUGACUGAGCGGGCUGGCAAGGCGCAUA
rnacentral:rRNA from 1 species